rnacentral:ncRNA from 1 species
GCGCAGGGCGUGGCGGAUCACCACGUCACGGAAACGGACGCCUUUUAAACGGGCGGUGCGGAUAUAUUGCGCGGUCAUCACCUCGGUCAUGGAGGCGCGGGUCAUGCGCGCGAUAUAGCCCAUGCCAUAAAGUGCGACAGUGAUCACAGGCAGGCCAAAAUUCCAAAAUGUGAUGUUGU